CCAUCAUAUAUUACAUAAAUUAAGAGAUGAGAUUUAAAAUACUAAUACGCCAUUAGUUCAACUAGCAGACAUAUAAAUUUAUAUAUCUGCUAGUUGAACUAGCGGAAGAACUAUCAGAUCUCAUGCUAUCCCAAAUAUUACGCUACCAAAUAUAUAUUAGAUCUACAAAGGCGUAAUAUCAGAUCUCGAAUAUUACAAUCUCAAAUAUUACGCUACCAAAUAUAUAUUAGAUCUGCAAAGGCGUAAUAUCAGAUCUUAAACAUUUUUUCUUGUUUUUGAUUUUUUUUUUGUUUUUUGUGUGGUGUAGGUGGUGGAGAGAGAAAAUAGUGAAGAAGAGGAAAGAAAAAAGGAGAAUGAAAAAGAAGACGAAGAAUUGUAAGAUGUGAAAAAGGGGAGAUGGGAUUUGAACAUGUGACUCAGAAUGUUCCUCCAAGUGAAUUUUAAAUGUCAAGAAUGCAAAGAUUGAGUGCUACAAACCCUUUAAAGCUUGUUAUCACCACCCCACUCCUUCCCCUUCUGUCCCUCGCUCCACUCCUACUCCACAAGUAAAUCUCUCUGUAUGUGUUCGUGUGUAUAUAAAAUUUUUUAUGUGCUUUUCCAAUUUUUGUAUAAUAUUUUUUGAGUUUUUUUUAAUAAAAAAAUUAUGGUUUGUGAUAUGGGUUUUAUUUUGUAGUAAAGCAACAAUCUGAAAUAUCAUUGAAUUCAAGAAGAUACACAAUUUUUGGUAGCGU
rnacentral:lncRNA from 1 species